UACGGGGGGGGCAAGCGUUGUUCGGAAUUACUGGGCGUAAAGAGCUCGUAGGCGGUUUGUUGCGUCGGCUGUGAAAUCCCGAGGCUCAACCUCGGGUCUGCAGUCGAUACGAGCAAACUAGAGUGUUGCAGGGGAGACUGGAAUUCCUGGUGUAGCGGUGAAAAUGCGCAGAUAUCGGGAAGAACACCCGUGGCGAAGGCGGCAACUCUGGGACGGUACUGACGCUGAGACGCGGAAAGCAUGGGGAGCGAACAGGA
rnacentral:rRNA from 1 species